rnacentral:rRNA from 1 species
UACGUAGGGUGCAAGCAUUGUCCGGAAUUAUUGGGCGUAAAGAGCUCGUAGGUGGCCUGUCGCGUCGGCUGUGAAAACUCGGGGCUCAACUCCGAGCUUGCAGUCGAUACGGGCAGGCUAGAGUUCGGCAGGGGAGACUGGAAUUCCUGGUGUAGCGGUGAAAUGCGCAGAUAUCAGGAGGAACACCGGUGGCGAAGGCGGGUCUCUGGGCCGAUACUGACACUGAGGAGCGAAAGCGUGGGGAGCGAACAGG